rnacentral:lncRNA from 1 species
AUAUGGGUUUUCAAAGCGAAUUUAUUUGUUUAUUCAUGGUUCAAAUACCUUCGUACAUGAUAUUUCUGUGUGUAUCAAGGCAUCCAGAAUUGGUCAUUGAUAUGGGAAAAUUAUUAUGCUCAGCAAUAAGUAAAUACAAAGUAAACCUAAAUAUUCUAAGUUGCUUAAAAAUAAUCAGAAAACCAUAAAAUAUACAAUUUUAAUUUAAAAUGCUUUAAAUAACCCCCGAUCUAAAUAUUAUUUAGUUUACUGUAGGAUUUUUUUUUUGCAGUCUCCAUGCGAAAAAAAAAAUUCCAAAUAGUCCAGAAUUGCAAAACUGCUUUACACACCGGUAAAAAAAAUAAAUUAGAAUCGGGAGAGAAAAAGCAAGAUUCGAUAUCUAGGUGCUUAAAAUCAACUAAUCGGAAAUCAAGUGAGCAAGAGACAUUUAACCAUGAUUUGUUCGAAGCAUUGUUAAGCUGAAAUAUAUCUUUGUCCAAAUUAUCAAACAAAAAUUUGCGAAUGUUUCUUGGAAAAUACUGCAAAUGGAAUAUUCCAAGUGAAAGAAGCUUAAGAAGAAACGAGGUCGAUUCUGUAGGUAUAUUCUGCGGUACUGAGUAAAAUAAUCGAUAUAGUAGACAAUUAUUUUUAUCUACGUGUGGAUGAAACAAUUGAUUCUUCUGGACGUUACAUCGCACAUUUAUUAAUCGGAUCUCUUAAAAAUGGGUAAGCUUGUAAAUCGCAAUUCAUUGCUUCCAAGAAGUUGAAUAAAACCAGCGCAGUAG